GACGAACGCUGGCGGCGUGCUUAACACAUGCAAGUCGAACGGAAAGGCCCUGCUUUUGUGGGGUGCUCGAGUGGCGAACGGGUGAGUAACACGUGAGUAACCUGCCCUUGACUUUGGGAUAACUUCAGGAAACUGGGGCUAAUACCGGAUAGGAGCUCCUGCUGCAUGGUGGGGGUUGGAAAGUUUCGGCGGUUGGGGAUGGACUCGCGGCUUAUCAGCUUGUUGGUGGGGUAGUGGCUUACCAAGGCUUUGACGGGUAGCCGGCCUGAGAGGGUGACCGGCCACAUGGGGACUGAGAUACGGCCCAGACUCCUACGGGAGGCAGCAGUGGGGAAUAUUGCACAAGGGGCGGAAGCCUGAUGCAGCAACGCCGCGUGCGGGAUGACGGCCUUCGGGUUGUAAACCGCUUUCGCCUGUGACGAAGCGUGAGUGACGGUAAUGGGGAAAGAAGCACCGGCUAACUACGU
rnacentral:rRNA from 1 species